rnacentral:rRNA from 1 species
UACGGGGGGAGCAAGCGUUGUUCGGAUUUACUGGGCGUAAAGGGCGCGUAGGCGGCCACCGCAAGUCGACUGUGAAAUCUCCGGGCUUAACUCGGAAAGGUCAACUGAUACUGUGCGACUAGAGUGCGGAAGGGGCAACUGGAAUUCUCGGUGUAGCGGUGAAAUGCGUAGAUAUCGGGAGGAACACCGGUGGCGAAGGCGGUUCUCUGGGCCUUACCUGACGCUGAGGAGCGAAAGCGUGGGGAGCGAACAGG